rnacentral:rRNA from 1 species
UACGAAGGGAGCUAGCGUUGUUCGGAAUCACUGGGCGUAAAGGGCGCGUAGGCGGUGUGUCAAGUCAGGCGUGAAAGCCCCGGGCUCAACCUGGGAACAGCGCUUGAGACUGGCACGCUCGAGUUCGGGAGAGGAUGGUGGAAUUCCCAGUGUAGAGGUGAAAUUCGUAGAUAUUGGGAAGAACACCGAUGGCGAAGGCAGCCAUCUGGACCGACACUGACGCUGAGGCGCGAAAGCGUGGGGAGCAAACAGG